rnacentral:rRNA from 1 species
UACAGAGGUCUCAAGCGUUAUCCGGAUUCACUGGGUUUAAAGGGUGCGUAGGUGGGUCUGUAAGUCAGUGGUGAAAUCUCCGUGCUUAACAUGGAAACUGCCAUUGAUACUAUAGGUCUUGAAUUUUCUGGAGGUCAGCGGAAUAUGUCAUGUAGCGGUGAAAUGCUUAGAUAUGACAUAGAACACCAAUUGCGAAGGCAGCUGGCUACAGGGAUAUUGACACUGAGGCACGAAAGCGUGGGGAUCAAACAGG